GCAGAGCCAGGAGCCCCACACAGAAGCCCUGAUCAAUCCAAGACCAUCAUGAAGACCUCAAAAAGCCUGCCUAUGUUAAGAGAUAUGUCUUGUAGAGAGGCAUCCACAUGCAAGUUUCUCAGAGUUUCCUUGAGUAGCUUUACCUGCCAGCCCACAAAUUGCCCCAUAUGCAAAUGAUUCCACAUCUAUUUCUCAGCCCUAGAGAAGCAGUUUGCAUUCAAUGUAUCUGCAUUUGUUUAUACUUUUGUAUGUGUUGUCCUUUUUUCUAACAGAUCCAGAUUCAAUAUUUCCUGAAUGCCAGUUCUGUGACAGCACACUGUAUUAGGUGUUUUCUCAUCUCCCCUCUCCUUAUCUUCACAAUCCCAUGAAGGAAGCAUCGUUUAUUAUUGUUGUUGUUCUUGUUUUCCAGGUGUGGAAACUGAGUUUCAAAGGGUCCCUGAAGGCCGAGGGACUCAUCAGAACAGUGUUGCCUGCGGCCACUACUAAGAAAUGCUGCAGCGGGGAUGGAAACUCCUUCCUACAGAGGAACGGCUCCCUUAACGUCCUGGAGGCCUCCCUGCUUUUCCGUCUUCACCCAAGGCACCUACCACUCACUGCUCCCACCAAUAACCAGGUCUUUUGCCCCGGCCUCUUCUUUCUUUAAGCUUGAGAUGCUCAUGCAAUGUCUGGAACUGCAGCUGCCAUCUUCAGAUCACGAAGCACGAGAACAAAAGCCAUUAACUCUGAGGAUGGCAGAGAAAGAUGGAAAAAGCAUGGAAGGAUAACCAAGUGACUGAACAAACUCUGAGACUUCUUAACUAAGUAACAAAAUAAUUAUGAGUUCAUUCACUCCUAAUACUUAGUCAAGUGUUCUGUUCCUAACUGACGGAUGGAAGGAAGUGAACGCUUACUUAGCCUAGUCAGGAUUAAACUCCUCCGUCUUCGCUCUCAUGAUCCAUGGCUCGUACCUCAUUCUGCCUGAUGUUUCCAAGGCUACUUGUUUACACAACUUUCCUCUUUCCCUUUUUUAGCUGACACUACCUCCCCCAGAAUCACCCAUGCCAAGCUAUUUGAAGGAAGGAAGCUUGAAUCAUUUUUUUAUCCACUGCCCCCGCUCCCUAGCCCCACCUGCCAUAGUGACUUCCUAUACCAUUCCAUCCUGAAUCGUCACGUCCAUCGCAGACAGAAAGGCCAGCAUACACACACAGGCACACAUGUGUGCACACACGUACAUACACAGAACCACAUAUGUUUAUCGACCUGAAGCAGGAAUCACGGGGCUACAAGUGCUGAACCCCUGUUCGAGGUCUCAACAUGCUGGAAAGAAGAUAGAGUGAUGAGAAUAAGUGGGAAGAAACCAAUUGGAAAAAAAAAAAAAACACAACUAGGAAGCAUGGGAAGAGGGAGAGCCAGAAAAUAAGCCAGCGUGGCAACAGCUCAAGGGCUUGACAUGGGCGAGAUUUACUGCACUAAUAUGUUGGGCUGCCUGCCGUAAUUAGUUUCUGUGAAAACCGUAUCUCCUAGCUCAGAUUCAAUUAAAUCAUAUGGUGUUUAUUUGAGAGCUUUCUUAUUACAUGAUGGGAGGGCUGGCAGGGCCCCAAGCUCAGCUAACCCACCUGUCCCUCGCCUGGCACAAUUUAUGUGCCAGUCACACUGUUUUCCGG
rnacentral:lncRNA from 1 species